rnacentral:lncRNA from 1 species
AAGCAAGGGGUUUCAGAGUGCUAUUUCCCAUAUAUGCAGUGAAGAAAGCUUUCUUUAGCUGGCCCAAGGGGCUAUGAAGUAGUUACCUACCUCUGAAGAUAAUAGACCACUUGCUUAUAUAUGUCUACCACGAGAGUCUUAUAACAAUGGACUCUUGCUAUACCUGACACAGAUCUACCCCUCCCACUAGAACUCUGAAUUAUUUUGCUGGAGGCUACAACAUUCUGAGUAGUUUGUUGGGAGUUGACAGGAGGUGGGGAUAACCCACCCAGUACAAGCUUAGCAGAGCUGAGCCGCUGCAGCAAGUUGGGCUAGCCUUUGAUACAGACUGGUUGGACAGGUUCUGGAUCUACAGAAGAACCGGUUUUACUGGCCUGUUGUGCCAACAUAUUCUGGUUUGAUUCCAUGUUCCACAGACGGUAGAAACCUGCCCAGCCAGUUAUUAAAAUUUCUCAGUUUCCUAUGCAUUUUGGAAAGUUAAAUUAAGAAAUGAUGUUUAAAAAGAUAAUCAAUUUUUAACAUAGUAAUACCUGCAUUAUACCUUUUCUGUAAAGCUAGAUAUUGUUUUAUAACACUUGCGUUAUGUUCAUUGAUUGUUUGCAUAAAGGUUAUUUGGUAUAUAAUAUUCUCUUACUAUGCUUUUCUGUAAGUUGUGCAUGGCUAUAGUCAUUUUAAAAGCUGGACUGAAUAAUUUUGCCAAAUAAAUUUCACAUAUUAAUGAUUUACAUUAAGCCAUCUACUUCCUUCAUAAUGUAACUAUUAUGUUUUAUAGGCUGUUGCUAUAUGGUAACAAUUUUAUAUGGUAAAUCUAAUUGUGGAUAAAUAAUAAUUGCCCUUUUAAGGCCAAAAAAAGCAUUGGCCGGCUGGUGAUCCUAAGUACAUUCAUUAGAGGAACAAUUCACAGUAAAAAUUGAGGAGUGUGAAAAACAAAGACCGUGGAAUCUGGUAACUGAUUAACUAUUGGAGCUCAAAAGCACUUGCUGAGCUGAAUAGAAAGGAAUGAAGACAGGUUUUGUCAUGCCUAUUAGGUCUGAAAAACUUUUUAGGUUAAAGAAUACCUGGAUCUUCCUUUCAUUUAUAUUAAAAAUCUUCCUUUUAUCUCUCUCUUUACGUAAUCCAAUUAAUUUAUUUUAGUAGUUUGUAUCAUGUAAAAUGAAAGUUACCAAUCCCUUUAGAUUUAUGUUGGCAUACCAUCCUACCCCUUUAUUUACUGAUAUUAGAUUGAAUUGAAGCACAUGUCUUCUAGGGCAUUUAAUUUAACAUAACAGCUGACAUAUGAUUUUAUCUGGGAAUUUAAAAUUUUUUUAACAUAUUAUACUGAAUGCUUUCCUGUCAUCUUAGUAGGACUUUGCUUUGAGCUGAGCAAGACUGAUGCAUCCUUUUCAUUGUCCCUAGGGUUCCCACUUUGUCACUAUGUUCAAACUCAAAGGCUAUAAAAUUAUUUUCUAACUCAAAGGCUAUAAUAUUAGUUUCCUUAGGAUGUUGACAAAGAAUAAAUUUAAAAGUGUGAAUAAAUGUUCAGAUGAGAUUUCAUUUUUUGCAGGGAAAACCCUUGGAUGCUUCAUAGUCCUACUUCUAGGCAGUUCUGCAUGAAUUUCUGGUAAUCCAGGUAAACUGCUGAAAAGCUAUGUAAUGUUGUAUCUGCAAAAGCAAUGUGCUGAUUCAGCAAGCCAAUAUUAAUUUUAUUCAGCACAAAUUGUAUUUUGACAAGUUUUUGGUAAUAUGGAUCAAAACUUUUAAUUGGCUGAAUUUUUCUGAAUUUACUACAUGAAACCUAGUUUUCAGGUAAUAUAUAUAUACCAAUAGAGCACAUUGUUAGUAUUUCUGGUGAAUAUAUUGCAUAUGAUAAUUUAAAAAAUUUAAACCACACCGUGUUUAAAACAUAGGGCUUACUGUUUAAAGAUAAAUUUAAUUUGGGAUUCUAAUUUAUUUAUUGAGCAUUUUUUAUGUUUAUGGUUUUGAAGAAAGCUAUUUAAGAACUAGAUAUACAUUUAUAUAAAAUCCAUGGGUAAAAUUUCAAGCUUAACUCUGUAUUUUGGGAGAGGAUUUUACAAUUUUCAUUUAAUGGAAUUUUCAUUUUCAAAUAUAUGUAAGUCCUAUUAGAUAUUACUUUCAUGUAUUUUCCAUAAAUUUAGUCCUUUAAAAUAUUGAUACAUUGCGAUAUUUUUGUUAAAACUGAGGAUAUAUAAAUUUGUCAAUCAAAUUAGGAGUGUGUAUGUAUUUUAUACAGACCAACAUACUUCAGCGCCUAGUCAAAAAGUAUUCCACUCAUUUAAAAUUUUUUUACUCUUUUAGUCGAGGAUGCAUUUCUUUUUAUUCCU